ACACAGGCUAUAAGAACAUGGGCGAUGGCUCCAGGAAACCAACCGUCCCACAAUGCAAAGGUCGUUGGUGACGCUAUUAGACGAGCGCCAGCAGCGCGGCCAGCGGGGAGCGCCGUGGUCCUCGCCGCCUCCCACCCUGCCGCCUCCGUCGCCGCCACCUCCGUGGGGCCCUCCGUGUCUGCGCAGCGCGGCCCACGGCUCCCGGAGGAGCAGCCGAGCACGGGGUCGGGCACGGGGCGCAGCCAUGGCGGACAGUGCGGGAGCAGGUGCGGCGGGCCAGGCCUCGGGACCAGCGGGGGGCUCGAGUGGGGCGGGCGGCACGGUCAACCCCGCUUCGCUGCCUCCGGGAGACCCGCAGCUCAUCGCUCUUAUAGUGGAGCAGCUCAAGAGCCGUGGCCUGUUUGAUAGCUUCCGCCGGGACUGCCUGGCCGACGUGGACACUAAGCCAGCUUACCAGAACCUGAGGCAGAAGGUGGAUAAUUUUGUAUCGACACAUCUGGACAAACAGGAAUGGAAUCCUGCAAUGAACAAGAACCAGCUGCGAAAUGGGCUGAGGCAGAGCGUGGUUCAGUAAGUAAAGGUCAGGCAUGUUGGAAGCGGGAGUGGACAGGAUCAUUUCUCAAGUGGUCGACCCCAAACUAAACCACAUCUUCAGGCCACAGAUAGAGCGAGCAAUCCACGAGUUCCUGGCCGCCCAGAAAAAAGAAGCUGUGCCAGCUCCCCCUCCAGAACCUGAAGGCCAGGAUCCUCCAGCGCCAUCCCAAGAUGCUUCCUAAGGAUGUGCCUGAUGCCUUGGGAAGCUCUGUUUAAUGGAGAAGCGGUUCCUGUUCAUACGAAUUAACUUUAGUCAACCAUGUCAUUACUGAUGUCAAGAUUUUGGCCUUGACUGAGGUGGUGUCCAUGUUGGAUGGAGAUCAAGUUUGGUUGUGGACAGUUACCCAUACUUGCUCAUGGAUUGUGUCACCUUUGACCAGCCUGUCGAAGGGUGUGGCUGCAGUAGACACUACAGAGGUUUAAGCACUACAGUGAUGUGGGCUGUCCUGAACGAACCUUUAUACUUGAACACAGACACUGCAUGUGGAUGUCAGCGCUUGUGCUGUGUGGUUUGCAGGAGCCAAGCUGGAAGCUAGCUGGUCAGGACAGCACAGACCGGUGGGAGCAGCUGUCUGAUGGUGGGCUUUGAUAUGCUGGAGUUACAGACUGGAACGUGGGGCAGUUAGUGUCAGCAGCCUUAAGGUUGUGACCUUCCUGUACUUGGGGAUCUUAAUGGUUCCUUUCCUUGUCAGAGGUAGUGUUGGAACCCUGGAGUGAGUGAGGAAGCUGAGACUUGGGGUACACAGAAAGCCCCACAGCUUCUGUCCUGACAUCUCCCCAUCCACAGGGGUGAGUCACUCUGUGUUCGGUGCUCAGUUCUCAUGUUUGUGUUUUUAGAAAAAAAAAACCUGCUAAUAAAUGGUGGAUAUUUUACAAUAA
rnacentral:lncRNA from 1 species